rnacentral:rRNA from 1 species
AUGGCUCAGGAUGAACGCUAGCGACAGGCUGACACAUGCAAGUCGAGGGGCAGCAUAAAAGUAGCAAUACUUGGUGGCGACCGGCGCACGGGUGAGUAACGCGUAUGCAACCUACCUAUCAGAGGGGAAUAACCCGGCGAAAGUCGGACUAAUACCGCAUAAAACAGGGGCACCGCAUGGUGAUAUUUGUUAAAGAAAUUCGCUGAUAGAUGGGCAUGCGUUCCAUUAGGUAGUUGGUGAGGUAACGGCUCACCAGGCCGACGAUGGAUAGGGGAACUGAGAGGUUGGUCCCCCACACUGGUACUGAGACACGGACCAGACUCCUACGGGAGGCAGCAGUGAGGAAUAUUGGUCAAUGGGCGGGAGCCUGAACCAGCCAAGUCGCGUGAAGGGAAAGGAGGAUCUAUGGUUCGUAAACUUCUUUUGCAGGGGAAUAAAGUGCAGGACGUGUCCUGUUUUGUAUGUACCCUGAGAAUAAGGAUCGGCUAACUCCGUGCCAGCAGCAGC